GACGAACGCUGGCGGCGUGCUUAACACAUGCAAGUCGAACGGAAAGGCCCUGCUUUUGUGGGGUGCUCGAGUGGCGAACGGGUGAGUAACACGUGAGUAACCUGCCCUUGACUUUGGGAUAACUUCAGGAAACUGGGGCUAAUACCGGAUAGGAGCUCCUGCUGCAUGGUGGGGGUUGGAAAGUUUCGGCGGUUGGGGAUGGACUCGCGGCUUAUCAGCUUGUUGGUGGGGUAGUGGCUUACCAAGGCUUUGACGGGUAGCCGGCCUGCGAGGGUGACCGGCCACAUUGGGACUGAGAUACGGCCCAGACUCCUACGGGAGGCAGCAGUGGGGAAUAUUGCACAAUGGGCGGAAGCCUGAUGCAGCAACGCCGCGUGCGGGAUGACGGCCUUCGGGUUGUAAACCGCUUUCGCCUGUGACGAAGCGUGGGUGACGGUAAUGGGUAAAGAAGCACCGGCUAACUACGUG
rnacentral:rRNA from 1 species